CAUUGCCAUGGCAACACCCACAAGUUACUGCCCCUUUUGCAAGACAACGACCCAGAAGUUCUCACCCUUUUUCUAGCAAUUUCUGAAUAGGCUCACCCUUGUCUGGGAUGAAAUUAAAACUCGCUCCUAAGCACAGCCAAAAUCCUUCCCGGGCUAAGCCCAGUGUGAGGUUCACCUGCCCUGCUUCAGAUGGAUUGAAGAUCAGAUCAGAUACAGCAGAAGAAAGAACUAUUGGACUGGAAGGUAAAGCUGAUGGCCUUUUCCCCCAUGAACCACGUAGAGAUGAAGGAAUGGGAAAGGAAGAGGAGAAUCGUGGGCCAUUCCUCUGUGGGAUUCACUGGGCCUGUGACGUGUGACCACCUCCUGAUCAGCCCACGGCCCGCCUCCCAAGAUGGUGCCAAAAACACUGCACUGUGUCUUCAAGGAAAAACAUAAAUAAAUCCCCGCCAAGGCAUUCCAGCCUGACUCAAAGGAGGUGGGGUUUGUUUGAAGAAAAUCCAGCUCUCCUGGGCUGCCACCCACCUGUUCAUCCA